CUCUUCACCACUUUCCUCUCUCUAUUCUCUCUUUCUUACCAGUAAAUAGAAGGUGGCAUGAAAGUGUGAGUCGCCAGAGAAAUACAGAAGCUAUUUUCCUAUAAUGUAUGUUUGGAGUAAUGAAUCUUGAUGAAGGUAUCACCUCAGCCUCAAACAGUGUUAAAACUAUUUGCCAUUGUAUCUAACUUGAACAUGUCACAAUGUCAAAUUUUGUACUUGCCUUGGGAAUCAAGUUGGCCUCAAUGGCCUGGUUUAUCAACAUGAAUCCCAAGAAUUUUCUUUCUUCAAAUCCGAGCAUGCAUUUCUGCGAGUUGUACCUUGCUUUAUUGUCUCAAAUUUGAGGAUCACAUUAUCAACAUUCAACUCUAUGAUUUUGGCUUUCUGCUCUCAGAAUAUCUAGUCCAAUACGUUCUGAUACGUAACUUCUGCAUUCUUCAAAUCGAAAGACAUCACUUCAUGGCAUAAAUUUGGAUCUAACCAUAUCCUGAGUAAGCAUUUCAGAAACUGAAGUUUGUUUGUAGCAACUUUGUGACCUCUUGUUUGUAAUGCACCAAUACGUGGAUCAUCCUACAUAUCCAUGCAAUGACGUAUCUGACAAAGAUACGUUUUAUAAUAGGUUUAAAAUACAUUUAAGUGUAGUAAGCAAUUAGAAAUGAUAAGAAGAAUUGUUUCAAAAAGAGGGUUGUGAAGCUAACACUAUUGCUUA